CCGCCUGCUUUGGCCCCCAGCCCCCACCUCUCCGUUCUAAGCAGAACCGGAGAGGGUGAGACCCGAAACAUGUCUAGAAGCAUCCAUGGCAGACAAAACUCUAGGAGCAAUAACAUCUCCACAGAGGCAGAGAGGGGCAGCGUCCAUCUUUGCCUUCCUAUCUCGGAGCCUCAGUUUCCUGAUUUAAAUAGCCACACGUGGCGAGUGGCUGUCGUAUUAAGGUAUUGCCUUAAGGAGCACCGUUCUAGGAACCCAGAAUCCAGGGGGAGAAGUUCACCUUGACCAAGGCAGUGAGAGCAUCCCAGCUGAUGCCGUGAGAGAGCACCUUUAGAAAGGUGAAAACAGGAAGAAAAAAGUGAGCUAUCACCUUCUUGGACCAACUGCUUUGUGUCCCUGCUCAGGAGAAUAAAAGCUUUCUCUCUCUUCAGACACAAGUCUCCACAAGUUCUCCCUUUUACAAGGGAUUAUGAGGAAAUCCUAUUUUAGAAUUGCUGCUGCUUUUGGCAAUCCGCAAUAUUAGCCUGAUGAGGAAUUACGCUCACUAAUAAAAUAUCGAGAGUUGG